UACAUACUUCCCGCAAAUUGCAGUACUAUUUCUCACCCAUAAGAUUAUAAAUAGGCCAUGAUCCUCUCAAACUCACUGCAUUGAGACAAAAUGAGUACAAAGGCCUUUCUUGUUUUAUCCAUGUUCUUUAUCUCCCUUCUUCCCAUCCCUUCCAAGACAGCUGCCAGGGAAACAUUACAGAAUUCUCAAACUCUAGAAGACACCCGAAUCAACCGUUCGUUCCUUGAACCUGACUGACACAUCUAUGGCAGUCCUGGACGAUCGUUCCUUGAACCUGACCUACCCAUUUAUGGUGGUCCUGGACGAUCCUGUCCAUAUAGGUGCGGCAGACCCUACUUACGCCCCGGAUGCAGAACAUAUCCUUGCAGACGGGUGGUCUCAGCUCUGCCACCUGAGCAAACGGGCACACCACCGCCGGUAUGAUGCUACGAAUAACAUAUGGUUAGUUUUCAUGUAAUCCGAUGUUAAUAAUGGUAAUAAUAAUAAUAAGUUGAUUAGAUAGAGAGGUGAAUGUAGUGAAUAUAAAGACUUAGUUCUGCAUGGUUUUUUGCCCUUCAAGUGGGGCUACAAUAACAAGUUGUCGUUGCCGUUGUAAUAUUUGUAUGGGAAUGAAGUUACUUAUGGUUUUCUUUUUAAAAAAAAUCCAUGGUUUUAUUUUUGGAGUUGGCAAGCCUACCAUUACGUGUGUGGGUCGGCCAUGUGCACAGCCACUACAAAGAUGGUUGAGACUGUCCAACUUUUGGGAACUAUCAUGGACGGAGCACUAUCCAAAACUUAUGAUGAUUGGACUACUCUUCUUGAUAGGUCUUGGUGGAUAGGGGCUCUCUUGGGUGUAGCUUGUCUGAGUUUGGUGGUCCUCUUUUUAUCAUUUCUGGAUUUCCCUCUGUGUGAGUUGUGUAAUAUUUGGUAUAUGAUA